UACGAAGGGGGCUAGCGUUGUUCGGAAUUACUGGGCGUAAAGCGCACGUAGGCGGCUUUUUAAGUCAGGGGUGAAAUCCUGGAGCUCAACUCCAGAACUGCCUUUGAUACUGGGAAGCUUGAGUCCGGAAGAGGUGAGUGGAACUCCGAGUGUAGAGGUGAAAUUCGUAGAUAUCGGGAGGAACACCGGUGGCGAAGGCGACUCCCUGGCCUGUUCUUGACGCUGAGGCGCGAAAGCUAGGGGAGCAAACAGG
rnacentral:rRNA from 1 species